rnacentral:tRNA from 1 species
GGCGGGAUAGCUCAGUUGGUUAGAGCGUCGGAUUCAUAACCUGGAGGUCCCGAGUUCAAUUCUCGGUCCCGCUA